CGUAUCUUUGUAAAAAUGACCGGUGGAGCUGAUAAAGGGAAGUUUGCAGCUCUGGAGAACAUCAGCUGUAAGAUAAAGUCAGGAUGUGAGGGUCAUCCUCCCUGGCCUGAGGGAAUCUGCACCAAGUGCCAGCCCAGCGCCAUCACUCUGAACAGACAG